AGGUGGCAUAGGAUUGGCAAUUGUCAGAAAUCUUGCACAGCGUGGAUGUAGUAUAGUGAUACAUGGCAGCAGAGAGGCCGACAACGUUGAAGAUAUAGAGAGGACUUACAGAGUCAAUACGAAGUUCCUGUUCAUUAUUUCCGUGCUGACUUUGAUAAAAUGAAUGAAGUAGAAGGACUCUAUAAUAAAAUUAAAGACAUUUACUCUGAUGGUAUUGAUAUCCUUGUUCACAACGUUGGAAGUGCUCCAGGUGGAAUAACGGAAAAUAUUGGAAUUGUGAUAUGGGAGAAGAUGUUGCGUAUUAAUUUGACAUCAGCAUUUUACUUGACGAGUUUAUCAUUGCCAGGAAUGAAAAUAAAAGAACAUGGUCACAAGAAGCCUAAAUCCUUCUGGAAAAGCACUGGACGUCAAUAAGAUAGGCGAAGUUGCAGCUUUUCUGUGUUCUUCUUCUGCUGACGAGAUAACAGGAGUUAUGUUACCAGUAGACUGGGCUUCAACGGCGAGAUAACACAACUACUGUCGUUAUAAUCUGAGCACUUUUCAGAGUACAGAAGCAGAACAUGCUAUACAAAUAAUGUACUUGAUAAUUAAAACGUUUUUAAAAAACUUUAUUAAGACAAAUAUGGUAAUUAUAUUACUAAGGAGGGGAUUAUGUUACGCACGCACGCACGUCAUGAGUUGAUAUGAGACAUUAUUCGAAUGAAUUAACUUAUUCCAAACACUUUAUUUGAUCAUGUAUUGUACUUAUUGAC